AAUUUUAUCUGGGAACCAUUGUGAAGUCAUUUCAUUUUUUGUUUUUCCUGCCGCUAACUCCCCCAUUGUUUUGGGAUUCUCCUGGUUGCAGCUUCACAAUCCACACAUUAACUGGUCAAAAAUGCAUGUUAAAUCCUGGUCAGUUUCAUGUCACUCUACCUGUCUCCGUUCCGCAGUCCCUUCAGGUCCUUCCCCAGCAAAGCAGCAGGAUGUAGACCUUGUCGACUUGUCCUUAAUCCCAGCAGAGUAUCACGACCUAGCUCCAGUCCAGUGUUCAGGAAACCGUGGAAACAGUUUAGCGCCGCUCUUGGAGUUAAGGUGCCUCUCACCUCUGGUCGUCAUCCUAAAUCCGAUGGUCAGUCUGAAAGGAUGAAUCAAGAACUCGAGAACACCCUCAGAUGCGUAACCUCCUCCAAUCCUGUCACGUGGUCCCAGUUUCUGCCCUGGGUGGAGUACUCGCAUAACUCAUGUUUCUGCAUCCACUGGGUUCUCUCCUUUCGAAGUGUCUCUAGGUUAUCAACCACUGUUACUAUCCACUGAACAGCAAAUUGCAGUCACUUCAGUUCAGCAGGGUAGAGGGUUUCAGUAUCUCAUUGACUGGGAGGAUUAUGGCCCAGAGGACCGCUCUUGGGUGCCUGGUUCCUACCUUUUAGAUUCUAUGAUCUCUGAUUUCAAUGCUUCCGUCCUUCCUUCAGUUGGACCACCUGGUGGCGAUCAUUAAGGGGAGGGUACUGUUGGGUUCCUGGGUGUUUCCUUUUGUUGUUGUGGUUGCUGUUCUCUGUUCAUCCUUCAGGGGGCGCCUGGCGGUUAUUCCUGGAGGGCGUGGACCAGCUGAUAUGAAUCACCUGCACUGCAUGAUCUCAUCUGGAUGAGUAUAAGAAGAGGAGGCAGCCUACACACCAAUGCCAGAGUGUUUUGCCAGUUUUGGAACUCUCUCUGUAGAAGCUGUGAAACCCUUUGUGGAGUUCCAGCACAGAACCUCUCCUCCUAUAACCUUUCCUCUCCUUGUGACGCCAGUGGAUUACACCCACCGGAUGCCCAAGUCCCUGUACCCCACCACUGUGACCAGAUCUCCACGCAGGCUGCCCUCCUCUCUCCUGCCAUUAAGAAACUCGACCUCACCUCGUCCGCCCUCCAGUGCUGCCGCCUUUAAGUUUAGCAGCUACACCCGACUUCAGGAUAUCCACCCAGGAACCAUCAGAUUCCCCCCUCGAUCCAGAUAAUCUCAGCUAAAAUUCACACCCAGAAGCACCGACUCCACUCCGGACCAGUUUUUCCCCCCUUUCUGACUGAAUUUUUCCCUGUAAUAAACAUCAUUUUACUGAUUCCCCUU